rnacentral:lncRNA from 1 species
CUCUAGGGUCUGGGAAUGUGGCUCAGCAGGAGAGCAAUUCCCCAACAUGUGCCAGGGCCUGGGUCUGCACCUGGCCUUCCAGCUCUCCAAAAACAAACGAACACACACCACAAGCCUCCAGCCAACUCCCUCCUCUCUAGUCGGAGCCUGACCUAGGCACUGUUCUGACUAGGCCACUGCUCCAGAUUAGACUUGGGAGAGCAGUUCAGUCGGGACUAAGGUGGCAUCACCAGGUCGGAAGCUGGAGGCCGGAUCCGACGUCAGGAACAUGUUCCCCUACGUCUCGAUGCCGAGCGUCCCCCUGCCGAGCGCGGAGGGCGGCUGGCCCCCGCCGCAGCCCUUCAUCUACACCUUCCUACCGGGCGCGCUGCUGCUGCCGCCCAUCGGGGCCCACGACUUCUGCAGCCGGCCGGCCGGCCUGCGGGAGCUCCACUGCUUCCACGGCGCGCGCGC